CUUUUUUUAAGACAUAGUGCUAUUGCACACUUAAUAGACCACAGUUUAGUAUCAACAUAACUUUUAUAUGUACUGGAAAACCAACAAAUUAGUGUGACUGGCCUUAUUGCAAUAUUCUUGUAUUUUGGUGGUCUAGAAUUUAAUGCACAGUAUUAUGGAAGUAUGCUUGUAUUUCAUAGCUGCAUGCCCUUACAUUUCUGUUUUUCUAAGCUGCAGAAUGUUUCUUCUAAGUUGCAAAGUUUCUUCUUCUUUCUACUGGAGGGAAAACAAGGCUCAUCCUCCUGGCAUGCUUGCAUUUGGAUCCAUUCUGAUGGCAUCUGCUCAUGAACACCUCCCUUGGUGCUUCCUUGAAGAUGAUCCUGUCUCUUUCCUUCAUCUCACUGUAGUUGUGUCAGGAAGAACAGAGUGAGUCCAAGAUGGCAUAGAUGGUCCUAUUCAGAGAAGAGCCAUAAAAG
rnacentral:lncRNA from 1 species